GUAGUGCAACGCAUGGUC
rnacentral:siRNA from 1 species